rnacentral:tRNA from 1 species
GCCCCUAUAGUUUAGAUGGAUAAAACAUGGACCUUCUAAGUCUGCGUCCCAGGUUCGAUUCCUGGUGGGGGCGCAA